AGUGGCGGACGGGUGAGUAACGCGUGAGAAUCUGCCUUGGGGUCGGGGACAACCACUGGAAACGGUGGCUAAUACCGGAUAAGCCGAUUGGUGAAAGAUUUAUUGCCCGAAGAGGAGCUCGCGUCUGAUUAGCUAGUUGGUGAGGUAAGAGCUCACCAAGGCAGCGAUCAGUAGCUGGUCUGAGAGGACGAUCAGCCACACUGGGGCUGAGACACGGCCCAGACUCCUACGGGAGGCAGCAGUGGGGAAUUUUCCGCAAUGGGCGAAAGCCUGACGGAGCAAGACCGCGUGAGGGAGGAAGGCUCUUGGGUUGUAAACCUCUUUUCUCAGGGAAGAAGCUCUGACGGUACCUGAGGAAUCAGCCUCGGCUAACUCCGUGCCAGCAGCCGCGGUAAUACGGAGGAGGCAAGCGUUAUCCGGAAUUAUUGGGCGUAAAGCGUCCGCAGGUGGCGAUUCAAGUCUGCUGUCAAAGCACGGGGCUUAACUCCGUAAAGGCAGUGGAAACUGAAUAGCUAGAGUGCCGUAGGGGUAGAGGGAAUUCCCGGUGUAGCGGUGAAAUGCGUAGAGAUCGGGAAGAACAUCGGUGGCGAAAGCGCUCUACUGGACGGCAACUGACACUCAGGGACGAAAGCUAGGGGAGCGAAUGGGAUUAGAUACCCC
rnacentral:rRNA from 1 species